UACAGAGGUCUCAAGCGUUGUUCGGAUUCAUUGGGCGUAAAGGGUGCGUAGGUGGCGCGCUAAGUCAGGUGUGAAAUUUCGGAGCUUAACUCCGAAACUGCAUUUGAUACUGGCGUGCUUGAGGACUGGAGAGGAGACUGGAAUUCAUGGUGUAGCAGUGAAAUGCGUAGAGAUCAUGAGGAAGACCAGUGGCGAAGGCGGGUCUCUGGACAGUUCCUGACACUGAGGCACGAAGGCCAGGGGGAGCAAACGGG
rnacentral:rRNA from 1 species